rnacentral:rRNA from 1 species
CGUAGGUGGCAAGCGUUGUCCGGAAUUAUUGGGCGUAAAGCGCGCGCAGGCGGUUCCUUAAGUCUGAUGUGAAAGCCCCCGGCUCAACCGGGGAAGGUCAUUGGAAACUGGGGAACUUGAGUGCAGAAGAGAAGAGCGGAACUCCACGUGUAGCGGUGAAAUGCGUAGAGAUGUGGAGGAACACCAGUGGCGAAGGCGGCUCUUUGGUCUGUAACUGACGCUGAGGCGCGAAAGCGUGGGGAGCAAACAGGAUUAGAUACCCUGGUAGUCCACGCCGUAAACGAUGAGUGCUAAGUGUUAGAGGGUUUCCGCCCUUUAGUGCUGCAGCUAACGCAUUAAGCACUCCGCCUGGGGAGUACGGCCGCAAGGCUG